CACGUAGGGCGCAAGCGUUGUCCGGAAUUAUUGGGCGUAAAGAGCUCGUAGGUGGUUUGUUACGUCUGCUGUGAAAACCUAGGGCUUAACCCUGGGCUUGCAGUGGAUACGGGCAGACUAGAGGUAGGUAGGGGAGAAUGGAAUUCCUGGUGUAGCGGUGAAAUGCGCAGAUAUCAGGAGGAACACCGGUGGCGAAGGCGGUUCUCUGGGCCUUACCUGACGCUGAGACGCGAAAGCGUGGGGAGCAAACAGG
rnacentral:rRNA from 1 species